UUUUAUCCCUAGUCCAUGUGUAUUACAAUACACAUAAUUUGAUUUUGAUGCUAUGAUAAUAAGAGCUUGAAACAAAUAGAAAAUCAUGAAAAUCUUGUAUUUUCUUUGAUGAUAUGAAUCACUUCUGGUUCUGAACAUUGCUAGGAUCACAAAAAAAAAAAAAAGAAAGAAAAUAGAAGUGCAGCACCAUCGACACACUAUAUACACAUAUAUAUAUAUUUAAGGCGCACUGGAAGAACUAAAACAACAGACAGACUCAACCACUCACGAGACAUAUUUAUAUACUAAAUCGUCACUGCCUGUUACGGCAUCAAUCAAAUAUCAAUCAAGACUCCAUUUUACCUGAGUUCAGAAUGGAGCCUUGCGUGGGCCGAAAUAGUUGUAGAAGUAGUAGACGUAGUGUUAUAAACAGAGGAACAGAGAUAUAAGUUGCGUAUUAUUGAUAUAAUCGCUUGGACUCGUUCGUGUUAAUUUUGCUACAAAAUUCUGCUGAUUAUCAAUAAGGCUCGUUAAUUAACGUUAUCAAAGAGGCUCUGUAACAAGUGGUGGAGCUUUUUUUUGUAAAUAUCGCUGCUAAUAAACGCUAUAGUAAAGGCGGAUCUGAAGAAAAAAACAGAAAGCUUUAAUAAACGUUGCUAAAUAGUGGCAAAAAUCGUGCGUAAAAGUUGAACAUAGCGUGGUGACAUAACAGUAUGAUAGAAGCUGUAAAUAGAAUAAAUACGAAGUUCCAAUGUGUAGUGGUAAUUCGCUAAGAGGGAGAUCGGUUUUACCAAACAUCGUUAAGGAGAGUGAUCGAUCUGUUUGAUCGUGUCUGUUCUAAGUGAUUGAGCGAUUUCCUUGUAUGGUGUUCUUCUUUUUCAUACAUAGAAUUCAAUAGAAGUAAAUUUGAUUUCCAGUGGACACGAUAUAAGGAAACGCUAACGAUGGAUGACAUGAAAUCUCAAUAAUAAAAACGAACGAAAAAGGAAACGUAUGAAAUGAACAUCUUCCAUUAUUCAGAAACAACAUAUCUAAUACCAAAGGAGGACAUAACAGUGGAAUUUUAAGACAAUCAAAAACUAGGGCAAAUCUUAGAGUGACUAUCAUGGCAAGAAAUGAAUGAAUAGACUUUUUUCGUCGAAUAUAAUUCAAGAAAGCAAAAAAUCAAGGCAACGAGAAGUGAUCGUAAAACGUAUGUCGAUAUAUUAUUCUAAGACUAAGGUCCUCAAAACACAGUGCCAUUAAAAUUUAUCAAAGCGUUUAAAUAUUAUUAAUAAUUCAAAUUGUGAUUUAAGCAAACUAAGAUGUUGCAUUCAAUCAAAUGAUGGAUUCGCAUAAGAUUAUAAGUCAUAAAGAUAUCCAAACAAAAUUAGAAAAAAGUAAAAGGAAAAGAAAAAAAAAGAGAGAGAGAAAAAGAACUAAAACGUCGAUAAUUAAAAUUCGUUCGAACUUUUAAUGUAAAGUAGCAAUCCAUUUAGCGUAAAAUUCUGCGCCCAGGUAGCAAGCUCUGUCGUCGAUCAUAGAGCAGCGUUAAUAACGAAACAAAAUAAUAUUCCUUUUGCUAAAUUAGCUACGCCUUCAUCAACAUCAUGGCAAAAACGCUUGCGUAGCAAAAGAACUCUCUUGCAAGAAAUCUUGGGAAUUACCUCUUUGUUGGCGUGCUUAUGGUAGCACCGUUGGAGAUAUUGUUAAAAGUUAUUAUGAACAAUAGUAACAUGUUAAUUCUAUUGCCAUUACACAAUCGAAGAAUUAAGUGAUAUAUGCAAUCGAUCGAAUUAAUAAAAUGGAUUACUACAAAAUGAACGGUGAACUAAUGAAUGAGAAAAUGAAUUGUAUGAGUGAAUAUUUUGUGUGAAUAAUAAUAAAAAAAAAAGAAUCCUUCGUUUAUCGUUUA